GAUGAACGCUGACAGAAUGCUUAACACAUGCAAGUCUACUUGAACUUCGGUUUGGGUGGCGGACGGGUGAGUAACGCGUAAAGAACUUGCCUCACAGUUAGGGACAACAUUUGGAAACGAAUGCUAAUACCUGAUAUUAUGAUUUUAGGGCAUCCUAGGAUUAUGAAAGCUAUAUGUGCUGUGAGAGAGCUUUGCGUCCCAUUAGCUAGUUGGAGAGGUAACGGCUCACCAAGGCGAUGAUGGGUAGCCGGCCUGAGAGGGUGAACGGCCACAAGGGGACUGAGACACGGCCCUUACUCCGACGGGAGGCAGCAGUGGGGAAUAUUGGACAAUGGACCAAAAGUCUGAUCCAGCAAUUCUGUGUGCACGAUGACGUUUUUCGGAAUGUAAAGUGCUUUCAGUUGGGAAGAAAAAAAUGACGGUACCAACAGAAGAAGUGACGGCUAAAUACGUG
rnacentral:rRNA from 1 species